GACGAACGCUGGCGGCGUGCCUAACACAUGCAAGUCGAACGGAACUGUUUUGAAAGAUUUCUUCGGAAUGAAUUUGAUUUAGUUUAGUGGCGGACGGGUGAGUAACUCGUGAGUAACCUGCCUUCAAGAGGGGAAUAACAUUCUGAAAAGAAUGCUAAUACCGCAUGACAUAUCGGAACCACAUGGUUUUGAUAUCAAAGAUUUUAUCGCUUGAAGAUGGACUCGCGUCCGAUUAGUUAGUUGGUGAGGUAACGGCUCACCAAGACCGCGAUCGGUAGCCGGACUGAGAGGUUGAACGGCCACAUUGGGACUGAGACACGGACCAGACUCCUACGGGAGGCAGCAGUGGGGGAUAUUGCGCAAUGGGGGCAACCCUGACGCAGCAACGCCGCGUGAAGGAUGAAGGUUGUCGGAUUGUAAACUUCUUUUAUUAAGGACGAAAAAUGACGGUACUUAAUGAAUAAGCUCCGGCUAACUACGUG
rnacentral:rRNA from 1 species